UGGGGAAUAUUGCGCAAUGGGCGGAAGCCUGACGCAGCGACGCCGCGUGGGGGAUGACGGCCUUCGGGUUGUAAACCUCUUUCGCCAGGGACGAAGAGCAAUUGACGGUACCUGGAGAAGAAGCACCGGCCAACUACGUGCCAGCAGCCGCGGUAACACGUAGGGUGCGAGCGUUGUCCGGAUUAUUGGGCGUAAAGAGCUCGUAGGCGGUGUGUCGCGUCGGCCGUGAAAACUUGGGGCUUAACUCUGAGCGUGCGGUCGAUACGGGCAUCACUUGAGUUCGGCAGGGGAGACUGGAAUUCCUGGUGUAGCGGUGAAAUGCGCAGAUAUCAGGAGGAACACCGGUGGCGAAGGCGGGUCUCUGGGCCGAUACUGACGCUGAGGAGCGAAAGCGUGGGGAGCGAACAGGAUUAGAUACCCUGGUAGUCCACGCCGUAAACGCUGGGCGCUAGGUGUGGGGACCAUUCCACGGUUUCUGUGCCGCAGCUAACGCAUUAA
rnacentral:rRNA from 1 species